rnacentral:rRNA from 1 species
GAUGAACGCUAGCGGCAGGCUUAAUACAUGCAAGUCGUGGGGCAGCAGGUUUGUAGCAAUACAGAUGCUGGCGACCGGCAAACGGGUGCGGAACACGUACAGAACCUUCCUUUGAGCGGGGAAUAGCCCAGAGAAAUUUGGAUUAAUACCCCAUAGUAUAAUGAAGUGGCAUCACUUUAUUAUUAAAGAUUUAUCACUCGAAGAUGGCUGUGCGGCUGAUUAGGUAGUUGGCGGGGUAAAGGCCCACCAAGCCUGCGAUCAGUAACUGGUGUGAGAGCACGACCAGUCACACGGGCACUGAGACACGGGCCCGACUCCUACGGGAGGCAGCAGUAAGGAAUAUUGGUCAAUGGAGGCAACUCUGAACCAGCCAUGCCGCGUGGAGGAUGAAGGUCCUCUGGAUUGUAACUUCUUUAUAUGGACGAAAAAGGCUUUCUAAGUCGUCUGACGGUACCAUAUGAAUAAGCACCGGCUAACUCCGUGCCAGCAGCCGACGG